rnacentral:lncRNA from 1 species
UAAUGAUAUAUUAAUGGUCUAAAGAUAGCAAGGAGUCCCUGAUUCUGCGUUGCUCUGGUUUCCAGCAGGCUUUACCUUCCUCUGAUAAUUGGCAAAAGGUUCUGAAGCUCCCAGGCCAUCUGGAGUCCUUGUAAACUAGCAUACCUACAGCUGUACAAGCCAUAUUUUGAUAGCCCCCUGUAGCUAAUGGCUACCAUAUUGAACAGCAAAGAUAUACGGUACUUACCCAGCAGUAUAGAAAGCUCAACCGGACAGUGCUACAACAGUUGCAGGUAAGCAAGCAAGGUAAGGAUAGUCCCAAUCAGAUAGAUGGCAUCUAUUUUGUGUGAAGCCUUGUGAGGUGGCUCACACCUGUAGUCCCAGCUACUUGGGAAGCUGAGGUGGGAGGAUCACUUGAGGUCAGGAGUUUGAGACCAGCCUGGGCAACAUAAUGAAACGAAAAUAAAAAAAUUUUUUUUUUCUGUGUGAAAUAGGAGGCACAGUAGUCCCAGCUACUUGGGAGGCUAAGGAGGGAGGAUCACCUGAGCCCAGGAGGUCAAGGCUGCAGUGAGCCAUGAUUGCACCACUGCACCUCAGUCUGGGCAACAGAGCAAGACUCUGAAAAAAAAAAAAGAAAGAAAUAGAGAAAGAGAGAAAGGAAAGAAAGAGAGAGAGAAAGAAA